CCGGUGGGGGGGGUGCCUAAUACAUGCAAGUAGAACGCUGAAGAGAGGAGCUUGCUCUUCUUGGAUGAGUUGCGAACGGGUGAGUAACGCGUAGGUAACCUGCCUUGUAGCGGGGGAUAACUAUUGGAAACGAUAGCUAAUACCGCAUAACAAUGGAUGACACAUGUCAUUUAUUUGAAAGGGGCAAUUGCUCCACUACAAGAUGGACCUGCGUUGUAUUAGCUAGUAGGUGAGGUAACGGCUCACCUAGGCGACGAUACAUAGCCGACCUGAGAGGGUGAUCGGCCACACUGGGACUGAGACACGGCCCAGACUCCUACGGGAGGCAGCAGUAGGGAAUCUUCGGCAAUGGGGGCAACCCUGACCGAGCAACGCCGCGUGAGUGAAGAAGGUUUUCGGAUCGUAAAGCUCUGUUGUAAGUCAAGAACGAGUGUGAGAGUGGAAAGUUCACACUGUGACGGUAGCUUACCAGAAAGGGACGGCUAACUACGUGCCAGCAGCCGCGGUAAUACGUAGGUCCCGAGCGUUGUCCGGAUUUAUUGGGCGUAAAGCGAGCGCAGGCGGUUUGAUAAGUCUGAAGUUAAAGGCUGUGGCUCAACCAUAGUUCGCUUUGGAAACUGUCAAACUUGAGUGCAGAAGGGGAGAGUGGAAUUCCAUGUGUAGCGGUGAAAUGCGUAGAUAUAUGGAGGAACACCGGUGGCGAAAGCGGCUCUCUGGUCUGUAACUGACGCUGAGGCUCGAAAGCGUGGGGAGCGAACAGGAUUAGAUACCCUGGUAGUCCACGCCGUAAACGAUGAGUGCUAGGUGUUGGAUCCUUUCCGGGAUUCAGUGCCGCAGCUAACGCAUUAAGCACUCCGCCUGGGGAGUACGACCGCAAGGUUGAAACUCAAAGGAAUUGACGGGGGCCCGCACAAGCGGUGGAGCAUGUGGUUUAAUUCGAAGCAACGCGAAGAACCUUACCAGGUCUUGACAUCCCGAUGCUAUUUCUAGAGAUAGAAAGUUACUUCGGUACAUCGGUGACAGGUGGUGCAUGGUUGUCGUCAGCUCGUGUCGUGAGAUGUUGGGUUAAGUCCCGCAACGAGCGCAACCCCUAUUGUUAGUUGCCAUCAUUCAGUUGGGCACUCUAGCGAGACUGCCGGUAAUAAACCGGAGGAAGGUGGGGAUGACGUCAAAUCAUCAUGCCCCUUAUGACCUGGGCUACACACGUGCUACAAUGGUUGGUACAACGAGUUGCGAGUCGGUGACGGCAAGCUAAUCUCUUAAAGCCAAUCUCAGUUCGGAUUGUAGGCUGCAACUCGCCUACAUGAAGUCGGAAUCGCUAGUAAUCGCGGAUCAGCACGCCGCGGUGAAUACGUUCCCGGGCCUUGUACACACCGCCCGUCACACCACGAGAGUUUGUAACACCCGAAGUCGGUGAGGUAACCUUUUGGAGCCAGCCGCCUUAAAGGUGGAAUAGGGUA
rnacentral:rRNA from 1 species